GUAACGACAAUGGGUGUGAAAAACACCCACGCCGAAAGACCAAGGGUUCCUGCGCAACGUUAAUCGACGCAGGGUUAGUCGGUUCCUAAGGCGAGGCUGAAAAGCGUAGUCGAUGGGAAACAGGUUAAUAUUCCUGUACUUCUGGUUACUGCGAUGGAGGGACGGAGAAGGCUAGGCCAGCUUGGCGUUGGUUGUCCAAGUUUAAGGUGGUAGGCUGAAAUCUUAGGUAAAUCCGGGGUUUCAAGGCCGAGAGCUGAUGACGAGUCGUCUUUUAGAUGACGAAGUGGUUGAUGCCAUGCUUCCAAGAAAAGCUUCUAAGCUUCAGGUAACCAGGAACCGUACCCCAAACCGACACAGGUGGUCGGGUAGAGAAUACCAAGGCGCUUGAGAGAACUCGGGUGAAGGAACUAGGCAAAAUGGCACCGUAACUUCGGGAGAAGGUGCGCCGGCUAGGGUGAAGGAUUUACUCCGUAAGCUCUGGCUGGUCGAAGAUACCAGGCCGCUGCGACUGUUUAUUAAAAACACAGCACUCUGCAAACACGAAAGUGGACGUAUAGGGUGUGACGCCUGCCCGGUGCCGGAAGGUUAAUUGAUGGGGUUAGCGCAAGCGAAGCUCUUGAUCGAAGCCCCGGUAAACGGCGGCCGUAACUAUAACGGUCCUAAGGUAGCGAAAUUCCUUGUCGGGUAAGUUCCGACCUGCACGAAUGGCGUAACGAUGGCGGCGCUGUCUCCACCCGAGACUCAGUGAAAUUGAAAUCGCUGUGAAGAUGCAGUGUAUCCGCGGCUAGACGGAAAGACCCCGUGAACCUUUACUGUAGCUUUGCACUGGACUUUGAGCCUGCUUGUGUAGGAUAGGUGGGAGGCUUUGAAGCGUGGACGCCAGUUCGCGUGGAGCCAUCCUUGAAAUACCACCCUGGCAUGCUUGAGGUUCUAACUCUGGUCCGUAAUCCGGAUCGAGGACAGUGUAUGGUGGGCAGUUUGACUGGGGCGGUCUCCUCCUAAAGAGUAACGGAGGAGUACGAAGGUGCGCUCAGACCGGUCGGAAAUCGGUCGUAGAGUAUAAAGGCAAAAGCGCGCUUGACUGCGAGACAGACACGUCGAGCAGGUACGAAAGUAGGUCUUAGUGAUCCGGUGGUUCUGUAUGGAAGGGCCAUCGCUCAACGGAUAAAAGGUACUCCGGGGAUAACAGGCUGAUACCGCCCAAGAGUUCAUAUCGACGGCGGUGUUUGGCACCUCGAUGUCGGCUCAUCACAUCCUGGGGCUGAAGCCGGUCCCAAGGGUAUGGCUGUUCGCCAUUUAAAGUGGUACGCGAGCUGGGUUUAGAACGUCGUGAGACAGUUCGGUCCCUAUCUGCCGUGGACGUUUGAGAUUUGAGAGGGGCUGCUCCUAGUACGAGAGGACCGGAGUGGACGAACCUCUGGUGUUCCGGUUGUCACGCCAGUGGCAUUGCCGGGUAGCUAUGUUCGGAAAAGAUAACCGCUGAAAGCAUCUAAGCGGGAAACUUGCCUCAAGAUGAGAUCUCACUGGGAACUUGAUUCCCCUGAAGGGCCGUCGAAGACUACGACGUUGAUAGGCUGGGUGUGUAAGCGUUGUGAGGCGUUGAGCUAACCAGUACUAAUUGCCCGUGAGGCUUGACCAU
rnacentral:rRNA from 1 species